rnacentral:tRNA from 1 species
GUCAGGUUGGCCGAGCGGUCUAAGGUGCCAGACUUAAGUUCUGGUUCUCGAAAGUGAGCGUGGGUUCAAACCCGACACUUGACA